rnacentral:rRNA from 1 species
UACAGAGGGUGCGAGCGUUGUCCGGAAUCACUGGGCGUAAAGGGCGCGUAGGUGGCCUGAUAAGUAGGGGGUGAAAUCUCGAGGCUCAACUUCGAGGCUGCCUCCUAAACUGUCAGGCUUGAGCAGAGUAGAGGCAGGUGGAAUUCCCGGUGUAGCGGUGGAAUGCGUAGAUAUCUGGAGGAACACCGGUGGCGAAGGCGGCAUCCUGGACCGAUACUGACGCUGAGGAGCGAAAGCCAGGGGAGCAAACGGG